GGAGAUGGAUUCUGAGACACGAAUCCAGGCCCUACGGGGCGCAGCAGGCGCGAAAACUUUACAAUGCGAGAAAUCGUGAUAAGGGAACCCCGAGUGCCCGUAAAUUCGGGCUGUCCGCCAGUGUAAAUAACUGGUGAAGAAAGGGCCGGGCAAGACCGGUGCCAGCCGCCGCGGUAAUACCGGCGGCUCGAGUGGUGGCCACUAUUACUGGGCUUAAAGCGUCCGUAGCUGGAUUGUUAAGUCUCUUGGGAAAUCCACCGGCUCAACCGAUGGGCGUUCAGGAGAAACUGGCAAUCUAGGGACCGGGAGAGGUGAGAGGUACUCCAGGGGUAGGAGUGAAAUCCUGUAAUCCUUGGGGGACCACCUGUGGCGAAGGCGUCUCACUAGAACGGCUCCGACAGUGAGGGACGAAAGCUGGGGGAGCAAACCGGAUUAGAUACCCGGGUAGUCCCAGCUGUAAACGAUGCGCGUUAGGUGUAUCGGUGACCACGAGUCAUCGAGGUGCCGAAGGGAAACCGUGAAACGU
rnacentral:rRNA from 1 species